rnacentral:rRNA from 1 species
UGCAGUCGGGCGGUAACACAGAGGAGCUUGCUCCUUGGGUGACGAGCGGCGGACGGGUGAGUAAAGUCUGGGGAUCUGCCUGAUGGAGGGGGAUAACUACUGGAAACGGUAGCUAAUACCGCAUGACGUCUUCGGACCAAAGUGGGGGACCUUCGGGCCUCACGCCAUGAGAUGAACCCAGAUGGGAUUAGCUGGUAGGUGAGGUAACGGCUCACCUAGGCGACGAUCCCUAGCUGGUCUGAGAGGAUGACCAGCCACACUGGAACUGAGACACGGUCCAGACUCCUACGGGAGGCAGCAGUGGGGAAUAUUGCACAAUGGGGGAAACCCUGAUGCAGCCAUGCCGCGUGUGUGAAGAAGGCCUUCGGGUUGUUAAAGCACUUUCAGCGGGGAGGAAGGCAAUAAACUUAAUAAGUUUGUUGAUUGACGUUACCCGCAGAAGAAGCACCGGCUAACUCCGUGCCAGCAGCCGCGGUAAUACGGAGGGUGCAAGCGUUAAUCGGAAUGACUGGGCGUAAAGCGCACGCAGGCGGUCUGUUAAGUUGGAUGUGAAAUCCCCGGGCUCAACCCGGGAACAGCAUUCAAAACUGACAGGCUAGAGUCUCGUAGAGGGGGGUAGAAUUCCAGGUGUAGCGGUGAAAUGCGUAGAGAUCUGGAGGAAUACCGGUGGCGAAGGCGGCCCCCUGGACGAAGACUGACGCUCAGGUGCGAAAGCGUGGGGAGCAAACAGGAUUAGAUACCCUGGUAGUCCACGCCGUAAACGAUGUCGACUUGGAGGCUGUGGUCUUGAACCGUGGCUUCCGGAGCUAACGCGUUAAGUCGACCGCCUGGGGAGUACGGCCGCAAGGUUAAAACUCAAAUGAAUUGACGGGGGCCCGCACAAGCGGUGGAGCAUGUGGUUUAAUUCGAUGCAACGCGAAGAACCUUACCUACUCUUGACAUCCAGAGAAGACUGUAGAGAUACGGGUUGUGCCUUCGGGAGCUCUGAGACAGGUGCUGCAUGGCUGUCGUCAGCUCGUGUUGUGAAAUGUUGGGUUAAGUCCCGCAACGAGCGCAACCCUUAUCCUUUGUUGCCAGCGAUACGGUCGGGAACUCAAAGGAGACUGCCGGUGAUAAACCGGAGGAAGGUGGGGAUGACGUCAAGUCAUCAUGGCCCUUACGAGUAGGGCUACACACGUGCUACAAUGGCGCAUACAAAGAGAAGCGAGCCUGCGAGGGUGAGCGGACCUCAUAAAGUGCGUCGUAGUCCGGAUUGGAGUCUGCAACUCGACUCCAUGAAGUCGGAAUCGCUAGUAAUCGUAGAUCAGAAUGCUACGGUGAAUACGUUCCCGGGCCUUGUACACACCGCCCGUCACACCAUGGGAGUGGGUUGCAAAAGAAGUAGGUAGC